ensembl:lncRNA
CUUAAAGCGGGCGCCUCCCUGCCACCUGGUUAAAAUUCCUCCUCCUCUCCCCACCUCCCUACAUCCAUUUUGCUCCUGUGCUGUUUAAACAAUACUUCAUCAAAUGCAGCCUGGAGCAAAUAAGAAAGCUCAGUAGAGUAAAUAAAAAGUCAAAAAAAAAAUCACCGGCUGGAGGCCCUCCAGGCCUCUCGUUGGUGCUCAGUACAAAACUCCACCCCUGCCGCUCGUGAAACAAGGAAAUCUUUAGAUGGAUGCCACUGGGCCCCAUGCCAUCCCUGCACAGCCCAAAAGCCAUGCCUGUAAUAUACACGAGGCUUCGUGCCAAACCGACUUUUCAGUUGAGCAGCUCUUCAAACUCAGGAAGAGAAGAGGAAUUUGCAUUUAGCCAUGAAGAAUCAAAAGACUCUUUGCACACAUUUCUUAAGGAAAGGACAUUUAGGAACCUGGAAAAGCUUAUGCCAUAUAAUCUCAGAGUAUAAGAAACAGCAGGGCAUCUCUGAGGCCAGCAGGGCAUCUCUGAGGAUGACAGGGCCAAUGAUGCCAUUUUGCAGAGGAGAAAACUGAGGCCAGAGAAAGCAAAUGAGUUGCCUGCAUCUGGGACUGGACAAAACAGAUGUGCAGUUAAGGAACAGCUGUUGAGAGACGGAGGUCAUAGCCAGAAGCUCAGUCAGUGUUCCAGCUUCAUCGGGUCCCCACUGAUCAGGUAGGCAUUGUCAAGAGCAUUUUACAAGUGAGAAAUAAUCAUGGAUUACUUCCCUUAGGCCCCAAUCCUAGGACACAGCAGAACCGUGACGAGAACAUAGGGUUCCUGGCUUCAAAGACAAUGCUUCUUCUAUUCUGUGUCAUCUUUUGGAGGGAAGCUUGCACAUAGAUUUGUGCUAAGGGGAGUGUGAAGUGAAGAGGAUGCAGAUGGAGGCACCUUGGUGCGUUCAGGCUUGUUUCCAUCACCACCAUCAUCUGGGGCUGGUGGGACUCGACCUCUGUAUUUCCCCUUCUGAAGAAUCCCCUAUUCCAUUCCCAGAGAAAAAGGCCCUAAUCGACAUGAGUUCUUCAGUUAAAUUAAUUUAAUUAAUAUAAACCAAUGCUGCUUUAAGAAUUUGAAAGGUCUGUAAACUUAAAUAAUUGUUUUUAAUACAAAGCUUCCUGAAGGAGGAAAUGGCAACCCACUUCAGCCCAUAGGGUCGCAGAGAGCCUGAAUGGCCUGGAAGCAUCUGAGUUUGCCCAAACCAGUUUUGCAAGUGAGGAUAUACAGCAGUGACAGGUAGAGCAACUAUUGGGUGAAUUGCCAUGGCAUCAGUGACCAGACCCCCAAAUCCAAACUGGGACCUGAGUCACUGGGGUCUGUGUGCCAGCUUCCCGCUGCAGCAGAGUGGCACUUGCACCCUUUGCUGUGUUCUCUGCCGCCUCUCCGUCAGCUGCAGCCUUAGAUGUGAGACAACUGUAUUUCAUCUAUCACAAGUCCCCUUCGAGACAUAGUCACUGUCUCCAGAAAGGACCUCAACUGCUUUUUAAAAAUCGCACUAACUACCAAAUACCCAUAAAGUAUAGCAUUAAAUCUGUAAUACCACACCCUCUGGCAGCAUCUGCCCGGCCCUGAAUUCUUGAACAUUCUUGGCCUUUGAGUUCAACUUCAUCUGACCCAUGUUGGCCUACAUCUCAUCGCCAGCCAUUCCUAACCACAGAAUCCUCCCCCAGCAGCAUCCAAGACAGCAGCCAGGGCGCCUUCAGAGACUCUGCCAGGACUGGGCUUUUAAAGGGGCAUCUCAAUGAGGAAAACGCCAGUAACAACAAACCAACCUAAGGGCUGUGUAUUAUAAUCACAGAUGCCCACCUCAUCCUAAAUAAAC